CUGUCUCAGAUUGAACGCUGGCGGCAGGCCUAACACAUGCAAGUCGGACGGUAGCACAGAGAGCUUGCUCUCGGGUGACGAGUGGCGGACGGGUGAGUAAUGUCUGGGGAUCUGCCCGAUAGAGGGGGAUAACCACUGGAAACGGUGGCUAAUACCGCAUAACGUCGCAAGACCAAAGAGGGGGACCUUCGGGCCUCUCACUAUCGGAUGAACCCAGAUGGGAUUAGCUAGUAGGCGGGGUAAUGGCCCACCUAGGCGACGAUCCCUAGCUGGUCUGAGAGGAUGACCAGCCACACUGGAACUGAGACACGGUCCAGACUCCUACGGGAGGCAGCAGUGGGGAAUAUUGCACAAUGGGCGCAAGCCUGAUGCAGCCAUGCCGCGUGUAUGAAGAAGGCCUUCGGGUUGUAAAGUACUUUCAGCGGGGAGGAAGGCGACGGGGUUAAUAACCCUGUCGAUUGACGUUACCCGCAGAAGAAGCACCGGCUAACUCCGUGCCAGCAGCCGCGGUAAUACGGAGGGUGCAAGCGUUAAUCGGAAUUACUGGGCGUAAAGCGCACGCAGGCGGUCUGUUAAGUCAGAUGUGAAAUCCCCGGGCUUAACCUGGGAACUGCAUUUGAAACUGGCAGGCUUGAGUCUUGUAGAGGGGGGUAGAAUUCCAGGUGUAGCGGUGAAAUGCGUAGAGAUCUGGAGGAAUACCGGUGGCGAAGGCGGCCCCCUGGACAAAGACUGACGCUCAGGUGCGAAAAGCGUA
rnacentral:rRNA from 1 species